AAGGUUAUCUUCAAAAACUUCCUUCUGAGUUGUUUUAAUUCUAUGGAAAUAUCCAAACUGGAGUUUUAGCCUUGUACUUCAUUUUGGCUGAAAAAAUACUUCGGCGCAUUUAAAUAAGUGAUUGCUGGGAAAGUUUGAUUUCUCGAGAGUGGAAAAGUGGAAAAACCAACAAAAUUCACGGGUAAUAAACGUUUAUCACCAGCGUGAGAACAUCAAAGAAGAAACAUUCCGUGAAAUCUGCGGAUAAGGAUUUUCGCUAAAACCGAAUUGUUGAAGUCGAGGUUGAAGUGGUGUUUGGUGAAAUACAUAAUACAAGAUCCUCCCAGUUCGAAUCCAUUGGGGUUGUCAUGGUUGUCGUUCAUAUAUUAUUCAUUGAAAAUCGUCGCCACUAUUCCACCAGCAGAGGACAUCAUUUUCCAACGGAAACAGCAGCGAGCAUCAGCGAAUUGAUUCAUCGUUAUUACUCUAAUAGAAUGCCGCCGCAAGCAAGUUACUGUCCUUAUCAAUAUGGGGUACUUCUCGGGGUACUUAUUUUACGGUAGCAGUAGAGUUGGAUUAUGUUUAAAAAUA